rnacentral:rRNA from 1 species
GACGAACGCUGGCGGCGUGCUUAACACGUGCAAGUCGAACGGAAAGGCCCUGCUUCUGUGGUGUGCUCGAUUGGCGAACGGGUGAGUAACACGUGAGUAACCUGCCCUUGACUUUGGGAUAACUUCAGGAAACUGGGGCUAAUACCGGAUAGGAGCUCCUGCUGCAUGGUGGGGGUUGGAAAGUUUCGGCGGUUGGGGAUGGACUCGCGGCUUAUCAGCUUGUUGGUGGGGUAGUGGCUUACCAAGGCUUUGACGGGUAGCCGGCCUGAGAGGGGGACCGGCCACAUUGGGACUGAGAUACGGCCCAGACUCCUACGGGAGGCAGCAGUGGGGAAUAUUGCACAAUGGGCGGAAGCCUGAUGCAGCAACGCCGCGUGCGGGAUGACGGCCUUCGGGUUGUAAACCGCUUUCGCCUGUGACGAAGCGUGAGUGACGGUAAUGGGUAAAGAAGCACCGGCUAACUACGUG